GUGUAAGUAUGAAUAAAUUCAGACUGUAAAACUCCGAAUGUCUCAUUAAAUCAGUUAGAGUUUGUUUGAUAGUAUCUACUACUCGGAUAACUGUAGUAAUUCUAGAGUUAAUACGUGCAACAAACCCCGACUUCUGGAAUGGAUGCAUUUAUUAUAUAAAACGUCGACGCGGGCUCUGCCCAUUGCUGCAAUGAUUCAUGAUAACUCGACGGAUCGCACGGCCAUUGUGCCGGUGACACAUCAUUCAAAUUUCUGCCCUAUCAACAUUCAAUGGUCGGAUAGUGGCCUACUGCUAGACCCUUGACAAAUCUGAUCAGCAAG
rnacentral:ncRNA from 1 species